rnacentral:rRNA from 1 species
AACGAACGCCGGCGGCAGGCUUAACACAUGCAAGUCGAACGCCCCGCAAGGGGAGUGGCAGACGGGUGAGUAACGCGUGGGAACAUACCCUUUCCUGCGGAAUAGCUCUGGGAAACUGGAAUUAAUACCGCAUACGCCCUACGGGGGAAAGAUUUAUCGGGGAAGGAUUGGCCCGCGUUGGAUUAGCUAGUUGGUGGGGUAAAGGCCUACCAAGGCGACGAUCCAUAGCUGGUCUGAGAGGAUGAUCAGCCACAUUGGGACUGAGACACGGCCCAAACUCCUACGGGAGGCAGCAGUGGGGAAUAUUGGACAAUGGGCGCAAGCCUGAUCCAGCCAUGCCGCGUGAGUGAUGAAGGCCUUAGGGUUGUAAAGCUCUUUCACCGAUGAAGAUAAUGACGGUAGUCGGAGAAGAAGCCCCGGCUAACUUCGUGCCAGCCGCCGCUGUAAUAC